rnacentral:rRNA from 1 species
AUUGAACGCUAGCGGGAUGCUUUACACAUGCAAGUCGAACGGCAGCGCGGACUUCGGUCUGGCGGCGAGUGGCGAACGGGUGAGUAAUGUAUCGGAACGUGCCCAGUAGCGGGGGAUAACUACGCGAAAGCGUAGCUAAUACCGCAUACGCCCUACGGGGGAAAGCAGGGGAUCGUAAGACCUUGCACUAUUGGAGCGGCCGAUAUCGGAUUAGCGAGUUGGUGAGGUAACGGCUCACCAAGGCGACGAUCCGUAGCUGGUUUGAGAGGACGACCAGCCACACUGGGACUGAGACACGGCCCAGACUCCUACGGGAGGCAGCAGUGGGGAAUUUUGGACAAUGGGGGCAACCCUGAUCCAGCCAUCCCGCGUGUGCGAUGAAGGCCUUCGGGUUGUAAAGCACUUUUGGCAGGAAAGAAACGUCGCGGGCUAAUACCCCGUGGAACUGACGGUACCUGCAGAAUAAGCACCGGCUAACUACGUG